UUCACGCGCCGCCCGGCUGCUCAUCAGCAAGAAGCGCGUGCUCGUGAGGAUAAUCACGAUCCCCAUCCAUAGUUCACGAAGGGCUGCCAGACUGCUUGCGCGCUCGGCCGUCGGCAAGGAGGGUAUACGUACGUCUUCAUCUCCAUCUGAGAGGACUAGCAAACAACAGGAGAUGUCAUCGUCCACGACAUCCAUGGGCUGCCAGGACCUCGGCGCCGUGAUGUGGUUGUGUACAUGUACAUGCGCACAUAUACAAGCUAUGCAUCCACGUACGAUGAAGAUUCAAGCAAGGCGACGUACAAGUCUUCAUCCACUACUUCAACAACUCCACGCGAUCAAGCUCAUGACGUACCACGACGACGCUGGCGAGGAAGUCCGAGGCGAUUCAAGCGACACCAACCAUGCAAGUGCGAUUAUGAUGACACCACGCAAAGUUCGACACCGACAAGGCGAACGACGCAGGCGGGCAUGGCUGAUAUUCCAGUCAUGUUGUACCGGCUCAUGGACCGACGAGGCCCUCACGCCAACGCCACCUACAUCUACACCAACACCACGCAUGGAGAAGUGAAGCGAAGAUCGACGACGACGACCACAACAGCUUAAUCGGAGGUACUCUGCGAGUCAGCUCGCGGGGGUAAUUAACUGGGAGCCUUCCGAGGCCUCAGGAACCAUGAAGACCACAUCGCCUUUGUCAGAUUGCUGCUAGCAAGUUGUGUAGCGCGCAUUAGGAAUUUGUAUUUAUUAAACCUGAUGGUUAAUAAAAGUGCAU